AGCCAUUUCCGAAAUGCUCCAAACGACGCGUGUCUGUUGAAGAUGUGUCUUUCCUAGAAGCCACUCCACAAAAUCAGCACUCUAUCGGCAAACGAUCAUUUGCCUUUUUCUCUUUUUGUCAGUUUUGGUCGGAAAUGGGAAAUUGUCUUGUUGUGAUUCGGUUUUGAGAUCUUCUUCUCUUCCUUGACUUACUUCUUCUUGACGCAUAAUUUGCAAUUUCUCCAUUGACUGCCGGAAUCGGAUCUACUGCCUGAAUCUGAUCGACUGCAGGAAUUGGAAUUAUUGGAACAUUUGCAGGUGUUAAGGAUUCAUCGAAGACAUCAAGUUCCUUUUUAGUGUAUCCACCCUUGACUACAUGAUUUGGUUCCCACUCUUUUCGGAUGAUGGCCUCAACAUCUAAUGGAAGUGGCAGAUCGACUUGAGAUUAUUCGCGUAAUCGGGUUUGGGUACUGUGUAGGCGUGCAGAAUGAACAUGCAAAGACAAUGGCGGAUGGAACAUGGGAUGGAAGAAGCCAAGAAGGUUUCUCCGUUGUCAGUUGAUGUUUUUCUUGAUAAACACAACUGGAUAUUUUUGCUAUUUGACAAGUGGUCUAAACAUUCCUGCCUGAGCCUAAACAGAUGGAUUUACAUGAAUGGUUGAAAAUGAAGAGAUAGAGGUGUGUCAUUUGUACCCUUGCCAAUAUCUGCCAAUCUGGGUCUGCAGACAAGCAGAUAGGCAAUGCAUUCCAAUAAAUGUCAAUAAAGUGCAAGCAUGAUUCUCUCAGUUACGAAAUCUGCAAGGGAGCCCUGGAAGGAUAUAACUAUGCGGAACCGAAUCACCUACGCCCUACUCUUCUUCGGUUUUCUAAAAGAGUUCUUCCGCUUCAUCAGACACUAACGACAUCUAUUCUGCUGCCGCUGUGAAAGAACUCUUUCGCUCUCAUGCGCUGCAAGGUACUCUGUGAAUCCUCUAAUGUGAACAUCCUGGCUUCCAAGUUCAAGAAUCCUCACCAUUGCACAUCACAGCUGUGGUGUGUUGCACAUCCAAACAGCUGUCAUUCUGCUUAAUCGUGUUAUAUAUCGUGCUUAUUCGUGUUGUAUUGCUUAAUUGAUGUUCAUUUGGUUCACCAAAUACACGACGAAUUGCUUUUCGAGGUAAGUUUUACAGAAUAAAAGAUCAGACAGUUUAUUUAUUCCAUUCGUAUUGCGAACUUUAGAUACCAACUAACUGCGUGGAAUUAUCACAAAUCCUUUGGACCGACACAUGUUAAUUGUGUUUGUUGUGAAAUUUUGAAUGUCUAAAAGUAGAAAUGUCACGUUAGGAGAAAAGUUUGAAAUUGACAACUGCAACAAUAUUUACUUUGAUAAGUCGAAUGAAAAGAAUCAACAAAGAG